CGCGGGCCAAGGGCAGUCUCAGGUACAGUUUCUAUGGGGUAGGCCUCCCAAAAGGUAACGGAGGCGUCCAAAGGUUUCCUCGGGCCAGACGGACAUUGGUCCUCGAGUGCAAAGGCAGAAGGGAGCUUGACUGCAAGACUCACCCGUCGAGCAGAGACGAAAGUCGGCCUUAGUGAUCCGACGGUGCCGAGUGGAAGGGCCG
rnacentral:ncRNA from 1 species